rnacentral:rRNA from 1 species
CCUACGGGAGGCAGCAGUCGGGAAUAUUGCGCAAUGGGGGCAACUCUGACGCAGUGACGCCGCGUGCAGGAAGAAUGUUUUCGGAUUGUAAAAUGCUUUAGAUCAGGAAGAAAAAAGACAGUACCUGUAGAAUCAGCUCCGGCUAACUACGUGCCAGCCGCCGAGGUAAUACGUAGGGAGCAAGCGUUAUCCGGAUUUAUUGGGUUUAAAGGGUGCGUAGGCUGUGAGGUAAGUCAGCGGGGAAAUGCCCCCGCUCAAAGGGGUGAAGUGCCAUUGAUACUGGCUUGCUGGAGUGUAGAUGAGGUGGGAGGAAUGUGUGGUGUAGCGGUGAAAUGCAUAGAUAUCACGCAGAACACCGAUUGCGAAGGCAGCUUACGAAUCCGCGAUUGACGCUGAUGCACGAAAGCGUGGGUAUCAAACAGGAUUAGAUACCCCAGUAGUC